rnacentral:rRNA from 1 species
GACGAACGCUGGCGGCGUGCUUAACACAUGCAAGUCGAACGAUGAAGCCCAGCUUGCUGGGUGGAAGAGUGGCGAACGGGUGAGUAACACGUGAGUAACCUGCCCUGAACUCUGGGAUAAGCACUGGAAACGGUGUCUAAUACUGGAUACGACCUAUCACCGCAUGGUGUGUGGGUGGAAAGAUUUAUCGGUUCUGGAUGGACUCGCGGCCUAUCAGCUGGAUGGUGAGGUAAUGGCUCACCAUGGCGACGACGGGUAGCCGGCCUGAGAGGGUGACCGGCCACACUGGGACUGAGACACGGCCCAGACUCCUACGGGAGGCAGCAGUGGGGAAUAUUGCACAAUGGGCGCAAGCCUGAUGCAGCAACGCCGCGUGAGGGAUGACGGCCUUCGGGUUGUAAACCUCUUUUAGUAGGGAAGAAGCGAAAGUGACGGUACCUGCAGAAAAAGCACCGGCUAACUACGUG